rnacentral:rRNA from 1 species
GAUGAACGCUGGCGGCGUGCCUAAUACAUGCAAGUCGAGCGAACAGACGAGGAGCUUGCUCCUCUGACGUUAGCGGCGGACGGGUGAGUAACACGUGGAUAACCUACCUAUAAGACUGGGAUAACUUCGGGAAACCGGAGCUAAUACCGGAUAAUAUAUUGAACCGCAUGGUUCAAUAGUGAAAGACGGUUUUGCAGUCACUUAUAGAUGGAUCCGCGCCGCAUUAGCUAGUUGGUAAGGUAACGGCUUACCAAGGCAACGAGGCGUAGCCGACCUUGGGGGGUGAUCGGCCACACUGGAACUGAGACACGGUCCAGAGUCCUACGGGAGGAAGCAGUAGGGAAUCUUCCGCAAUGGGCGAAAGCCUGACGGAGCAACGCGGCGUGAGUGAUGAAGGUCUUCGGAUCGUAAAACUCUGUUAUUAGGGAAGAACAAAUGUGUAAGUAACUAUGCACGUCUUGACGGUACCUAAUCAGAAAGCCACGGCUAACUACGUGCCAGCAGCCGCGGUAA